GUGGGGAAUUUUGGACAAUGGGGGAAACCCUGAUCCAGCCAUCCCGCGUGUAUGAUGAAGGCCUUCGGGUUGUAAAGUACUUUUGGCAGAGAAGAAAAGGUAUCCCCUAAUACGGGAUACUGCUGACGGUAUCUGCAGAAUAAGCACCGGCUAACUACGUGCCAGCAGCCGCGGUAAUACGUAGGGUGCAAGCGUUAAUCGGAAUUACUGGGCGUAAAGCGUGUGUAGGCGGUUCGGAAAGAAAGAUGUGAAAUCCCAGGGCUCAACCUUGGAACUGCAUUUUUAACUGCCGAGCUAGAGUAUGUCAGAGGGGGGUAGAAUUCCACGUGUAGCAGUGAAAUGCGUAGAUAUGUGGAGGAAUACCGAUGGCGAAGGCAGCCCCCUGGGAUAAUACUGACGCUCAGACACGAAAGCGUGGGGAGCAAACAGGAUUAGAAACCCUAGUAGUCCC
rnacentral:rRNA from 1 species